rnacentral:lncRNA from 1 species
AGCAUUCUUGAUCUUUCUGAUAACCUAUUGUGUGGAGUGCUUCCUGAUUGCUUUUUUCACUAGCAAAACCUUAUUGUUUUGAAUUUAGCAAAUAACAACUUCUCAGGGGUUAUUCCAACAACUGUGGGAUCGUUGUUGUCAAUUCAUACAAUUAGUUUGCGCAAUAAUAGCUUCUCUGGAGACUUACCUUCUUCUUUGAAAAAUUGCAAUCGGCUGUCAUUUUUGGAUUUAAGCGAGAAUAUGUUUUCUGGAAGUAUACCGGCCUGGAUAGGAGAAAACUUGUUAUCUUUGAUUUUUUUGAGUCUACAAGCUAAUGAGUUUUAUGGGAGGAUACCUUCCAAUUUAUGCCAAUUAGCAAAGAUACGGAUUCUGGACCUCUCCCAAAACACUCUCUCUGGAGCAAUACCAUUGUGCCUUAAUAAUCUGACUGCCAUGGUUCAAAAAGGAGAUCCAGAUGGUAUUAUCGAGCAUAAUUAUUGGUAUUCAGUGGAAGGAAAUAAAUCUUUCUGGGGAGACUCCUACGUUGAAAAGGCAUGGGUUGGAUGGAAAGGAAUGAAGUACGAGUAUGAAAGAAGUCUUUUACUGUUUAGAAUCAUUGAUUUCGCAUGCAACAAAUUAAAUGGAGAAAUUCCAGAUGAGAUAACAAGACUUUCUGAAUUGGUUGUAUUGAACUUAUCAAGGAACAAUUUGAUAGGACUUAUCCCUAAAAACAUUGGUCAAUUGAAACAAUUACAAUCUGUUGAUUUGUCAUACAAUCAUUUGUCGGGGCCAAUCCCUGACAGCAUGGCUGAUCUAAAUUUUUUGAGUUACUUGAACCUGUCAUAUAAUAACUUAUCAGGAAAAGUUCCAACGGGUACUCAACUCCAAUCCCUUGAGGCUUCAGCCUUUAUGGGAAAUCAAGCACUGUACGGGCCUCCAAUUACACAACAGUGCCCCAAAAAUGACACGUUUCAACCUCAACCACCUGAAGAAGAGAGGGAUGAAUUCAAUAGAUGGUUUUAUGUUGGAAUGGGAAUCGGAUUCUUCAUGGCGUUUUGGGGAGUUUUUGGCACUCUACUGUUGAAGCGUUCUUGGAGGCAUGCAUAUUUUCGACUCUUGGAUAACUGGACGGACUCACUGUACGUGACAUCCAUGCUGUCGAGUGCAAGAUUGGUAAGGAAGUUCAAAAGUUAGAGACUACUAAGUUUCUACUAAAGGUCAGCAAACUUAACGUUUUCAUUGAAAUAAAUAUAUUUAUACAUGUUUUAUUGUCUUCUAUUAAAGCACUCAACCAAGCUCAUCAUGGUGGAUAAUGUUUAAUAAAUGGUUUCAAUUUCGAACAUGUUCAGGCAAAAUUCUACUUCAUGAAUCUGUAGACUAGGUAUAUACAUUGAAGUUAAAUUUUUAAUUAAAACCAUUCUAUUUAUAAGUUUAAUCUGAUAGCAAGAAUAAAUGAGAACUAUCUUGGAAUUCAUACUCUCUGAUGUGAAUUCUGUCUUUCUUCUAACUGUUGAUUUCACUAUUUUUUGAGAAAUUGUUGCAGCAUUAAUGACUUAAAAACAAUUGAUUUGUCAGGUUAACUAUCAUAGUUGUAGCAGUAUCAGAGUUGUGAACUAUGGAUUCAAAAAGAUAAAGAACGUGGCAUGCAGACAUAGCUCCAGAUUGGGACAAAAUGCGUUGUCUCUUGAUGAAUAGUCUGCUUUUUUUUCUGUUUUGAGAAGGAUGAAUAAAUAUGCUUUGAAAUUAUCUUCUUGUCUAUGCAUGCUUAUCUACUUGUUGAUGCACGAAUUCUGAAGAAAACUUUGUGCAAAGUUUUCAGUUUGUUUGAAGACAUUACAUGUUCUUCUCUUAUUACCUUUAUAUAUUGAUGUAUUUUCAAUCCUUUUGAGAGAAAUAUAUAAUCUUUCUUUACAAAAUCACUUUAUAAUUGGAUGUUGAUUAUUACCAUUUGAGAUAUCAUCAACCUUAAAUUUUUUUUAAUACAUAAAAAAAAGUUCAAGGAGAGAGUGAAUUCGGAUAGUGGACCUUAUCCCUCUUAAGGAAGGAUAAUAAGUAAUAACUAGCGGAUAAUCAGGAUAUUUUCGUGACUCAAUUAAUCCCAUCUUGCUAUAAUACAAUUAUUCUUCUUAAUAUCAUAAGUUAUAUAAUUUGUUUAUGCUACAGAAACAUAAAUUAGGACUAUGGCAAAAUGAAUGUCUUUGUAUGCUUAUAAUCUUGCUAAUCUAUAGAUUGUGCAAACUUUGUUUAAUACUAAUGACAUUGCCUGUUUAUAUGAUGGUGGUAGAAUUUGAUCCAGAGAUUGACAUUCCCUGUUCUCCAGCAACUAAAAGAAAUAAAAAAAGGCACUUUGUAAGAUACAAAUGUGCAUAUAUGACAUCUAAAGUCAGUAUAGAUAGAUACUACGUAUGUAGGCAUGAAAGCUACAUCUUCCCAUUCAUGUAUUUGAUGCAUGGAUAAGCAAAGAGAGUUUGCCUCAUACAAACCAAAAAAAAAAAAUACAUGAGCAGAAGACCCAUAAAACUACCAAAAGAAACCAACCUACUUGCUAUAACAACAAAAUAGAUUCAGGGAGAACAUUACAAAGACAAAAUCCCAUCACUGUUCUUUCCAAAUCCUUCCUGCCACUCUAGGCUUCAAUUCUUUCCGGUCUCCCCCUGAGAAGAACAAAGCCAUGUUACGUUGGAUGAUGAGACCAUCAAACUGUCACGAACCUUCCUGUGAUUGUCCCUUAUGCUCCUGGGCACCCCUUGCCAAGUCAUCUUCCUCCCAUUCCCACCUACCUCGAGACUGUAGCUAUAGUUCUUUGCCUCAUCAUCGUCACCCCUAAACCGCAAGAAUGCUAUAUAAACAGAAGCCAUCCCAAGCUGGAAUGCUUCGAAGUGCAGGCAAAAGUGUUGACCAAAGCAACUGAAAACCUAAAAAUUGAGAACAGAAAUCCAACUAUCGGUGAGAUACACCUCACAAAAUCUUUAAAUAAAAUCUAAAAUAACAAGGUUAAGUCUAUGAAUAUCAUUGUGCCACAUCAAAUAACAAAAAGAAGCAUAAUCUCUUAUCCAAAAAUAAAAAAAACAACUUAGUAACAGUCUUCAAUUCUGUGUGGCAAAGCCACUUUAUUACUUUUACUCUUUUAGAUUUAAGGAUUUUUGAGAAUGAAGUUCUGGAAAAUCAGAGAAGAACUCAAAGAACAGAGGAGUAAAAAAUGAAGAAAGGGAAAAUUUCUGAACGUGGAUAAUAUACACGCUUCAUCUUGAGCGGGAGUGUUGAGCAUUGAAGAUGAUAUUUAAGGAAGAGUCAAGCCCCUGCGUACCUGUACAUUGAAGAAGGAUCGGGCAUGAACAGAGCAUUAGGACUCCUUGUGACUAAGAGAAAAGGGGGGUUAAUAGGACACGUGUAAUAUUUAUAUAGGAUGAGUAAAUAUAGAAUUUACAGUUUACUAGUUCCUUUUACUGUAUAGUAAAAAAAUUAGUUGUUAGUUUCAUUUGUUAAUUGUAGCUUAUUCCUAUUGCCUAUUGUCUGUACAUAAAUACACUUGUACUAACUGUUUCAAUACAAGAAAAUUCAUUUCAUUCUUCACUGAUUCAUUUCACGAUCCUGAUUUUAUCAAUCAUGUUGAAGUCCUCUUUUCCACAGUCGCUCCCAUGGGCAGCCGCACCAAUCAACUCAGAAGCUGUACUCAAAAGUAGCUCAUAAAUAUCCUAACCUUAUUCCAAACCUCAUAUAAAAAAAUUACUACCACCUUGACCUUGUCCUAUGAAUUGUUAGAGUUUGAUAUCAACUAUUUACAAUUUUUUCUAUUUUAUUCAAAUUAUUAGUGAUUAAAAUUAAAAACAAAGUAUUCCUUAAAAAUUUCCAAAUGAAAUUAUUACUCCUUCAUAUUAAAUAUUUGAUUAUGUUAUAAUUAUGAGCUUAUUGUAAAAGUUAUAGGAAUAAGAGGCAGAAAAGAAGUAAUUAAGAAAUGGUAUUAGAAAAAUAAAUGGAGUGAAACCGGUAGGAAUUUGUUGCAAAGAAGAUUCUCGAGAGUCAUGAAGAUGUCUCGUUUUGAUUGUUGGACUAACAAAAUGGUGGUGUGUAUGUAAAUAGUUAUACUCUGUUUAGUAUUUCUAUUCUUGUAAUUUUGUCAGAUAGUGCUGUUCAUUGUGGUGUUAAUAUUCAUUUGUUCUUGCACAUAUAUUGCUGAAACUGUACAGCAUGAGAUGAUGAAAAACAUACAGAGGAAAUCUUCUUCCCAAAUGGCCUUUUCUCUCGAUUUUUCAUAUGGUAUCAAAGCCCUUGGGAUUUUUCAUUGAAUUUUUUGCUCAGAUCCAUUUGAUUGUCUGAUUCUCUUCUUUCCCAUUUCUUAGUAUUUAAUUUGUUUUUUUUAUUUCCCCUAAACACUUCAUCCCUCAAAUCUUUCAAUUGAUUCAUCCCUCAAAUACAUUCAAUACACACUUGAAUCCUACUUUUGAUCACUGAUUCAAGAAAAUGGUAGAUUCAAGCAGUGAUACAGCCAAGACCUUAGCUACCUCAAAAUCAUUGGUGUCCCCAACAUAAGUCCCAAGGCCACCCUAUUUUCUACACCAUUCAGACCACCUUGGGUCAGUGGUGAUAAACCCCAAGUUGAGCUCCAACAACUAUGUCUCUGGGAACCGAUCCUUCACUCUAGCUCUCUCGAUCCGAAAUAAAAAUGGUUUCAUUGAUGGAACUUUGCCAGAACCAGAUUCAUCUGAUGAGAUUCACACUGCUUGGUCUCGCUGCAAUGACCUUAUUGUAGCAUGGCUUUUGGAAUUAAUUACACAACCCAUAGCCUCAACCGUGUUUUACAUGAGCUCUGCUUACUAGAUCUAGGAAACAUUGAAGGAGAGGUUAAGCCAACCUGAUGAUGAUCAUAUAUGCAACCUUCAGUACUGCCUCGACGAUGUCACUCAAGGUACAAGGUCUGUAGAUGUUUAUUUUACAGAGCUCAACAGUUUUUGGGAGGAGUUAUGCAAUUAUAGGCCAUUACUUCACUGACUUUGUGGUACUUGUAACCCAAAAUGUUUUCAAUCCUAUAAGGACCAGAUUGAAAAAAAAAAGAAAAUACUAUAUUCAGGUUUUUAAAUGGGUUAAAUGAAACCUACUCUACCUUAAGGUCCCAGAUAGUAAUGUUGAAACCAUUUUCAAACUAGAAUGAGGCUUACAAUCUCAUAAUAAGGGAGGAAUUCAAUCAUUGCCCAAUCUUGAAUCUUUUGCCAUGGUUGUUGCACAAGAUACAAAGAAGAAGCAAAGACUUGAUGUUGUAUGUGCACACUGUGGUAAGAAGGGCCACACAAAGGAGAAGUGUUAUAGACUGAUUGGAUUCCCAAAUGAUUUCAAAUUCACUAAAAGUAAACCUGGUCCAAAGAGAGGAAAGGCACUAGUUAAUAAUGCGAUGUAUACUCCUUAAGAUGAUGAAUCAGAAGAAAUGCCAAUCAAUUCCACGCUGCCUAUGUCUUUCACUAGGAAUCAGUUCAACAACAUUCUGGCACUAAUCAAUAAACUUGCUGCAAACUUUGAUGAUGGUGGACAGGCCUCAACAAAUCAACAAAACAGACCCAUUUUUUGUCAAUUCAGUGUUGGCUAGUAUACUUUCUCAUCCAUCUUAUUCAUUUAAAUUUCAUAAUGAUCUCAAUUUUCAUGAUAAAAAUGAUACUUGGAUUAUUAACACGAGUGCAAGUGAUCAUGUAACUUGUUCCACUAAGAUUUUUAUUUCCUCUAAGCCUGUUUAUCAAAAGUAUGGUCAUCUACCAAACAAAGUCAAGGUGCUUGUAUCACAUAUAGGGUCAGUUAAAAUAAACUCAAGGUUUUGUCUUACACGAUGUUUUGUGUGUACCCUCAUUCAGCGUCAAUCUUAUCUUUGUUAGUAAGCUAACAAAUACAAAGAAUUUUUAUCUCUUGCUUACUGAUGCACACUGUGUAAUUCAAGAUAUCAAGUCAUGGAUAGUGAUUGGGCUUGCUAAAGUGACAACAGGUCUAUACCUCUCACAAGAUAGCUAUAAGGCACAAUAUUUAGAUAAAUUCAAUAUUGAGAAGGUUGUUAAUUCUGUUUCUACUAGUUUUCUUAGUUUUGUGAACAAUUGUGAAUCAACAUUAGUUUGUUCUGUUUCUAAGGAUUUUUAUAAAAUAGUUUUUACUUGUACAAGAGCUCCUAGCUAUUUUGACCUUUGGCAUUAUAGAUUAGGGCAUGUCUCUUUAAAUAGGAUAAAUCUAAUAGGAAAAAUUGUUCUGAAGUUCUGUUGUGAAAAUUGCCCAAGAAUCAACAAAGAUAAAAUCCAGAGAAAAUAAGCAAACAGAAAAACACAAGAAUUUACGUGGUUCGGCCUCUUGCCUACGUCCACGGAGUGAAACUGUUCUUCUAUUAUUGAGAAUUUAAAGUACAAUAAAUUGACCUUUAUGGUUCCCCAAAACAACCCAAUAUCCCUUGCACACUCUUCCUCAAUAACCUCUCAAGAACAUUCACUCAAACCACUCUAGCUCCACCUAGAGCAAAAGAUAGAGUUACAAGAUGUUCCCUCUCUAGAGCUCUCAAAGCAUUACUUACAAUUCUAAAGUCUAGAAAUCCACUUUUAUAGUAUAAAAGUCUAAAGUAGAAUGUGAUUAGGAUUCAAUGUGGAAUAAGAAGUUUAAAAACCAUACAACUACUUAAUAUUGUAUACAAACAAAAAUCCUAAUCAAAUAAGAUCUAGAAUUCUAGUCAACCCAAAACUCAACAAAUCUCUACCUUUGACUUGAAUUCAAACUCUUUAAACCUCUUCCACUAGUCGCACCUAAUUGCAACUUCCUAACUCCACCUACUUUUCAACACCUUGAACAACUCUCCAAGCAUAAGAUUUUCUAAAUCAUUGACCUUUAUAAUUGCCACGACUACACAUACCGAAUCAAGCAUGGUCCAACACUUGAUUCCACAAAACGGCCAAUGCACCUGUGUAGCCGUCAAGUCAAUGGCACUAAUUGACUUCGGAAAGGGACCUCGACAACCCUUCCAAUUCACUACUGGCAAGAUUUUUCAUCCUUUCACCAUCGUCUACACCAUGGGAAACUUUCAUCACCUCCUCAGCAAAUGAAAUCUCACUUUGGUAGCUACCAUCCCCUGUGCACUGUUCCCAUCCUUUCAAGGCCUCACAUUCUAGACGAUACAAGCCAUUAUGCAAAUUUCCCCUCAUCAGGACCAUGUCGCCUUAUGUGACUUUUACUACUCCAUCACAAUCAGAAUAUUCAUACCCUUUGGAGUCUAACGGGCUCAAUGAUAUUAGAUUCUUACACAUCCUUGAAACAUAAGUCACACCACCCAAAGAGUGCACAACCCCAUCAAACAUUUUGAUUUUCACCACUCCAAUACCCAUGACCUUCACUAUUGACUUAUCACCCAAAGUCAAAUUCCCAGCCACCCCUUCUUGUAGUAAAUCAAAACAAUCCUUUUGAUAACAUAUGUGAGUAGCAGAAGCAGAAUCUAAAUACUAAUAAGAAUUUGCAUCCAUAUUUCUGAAAUUGUAAGGACAUUACAAUCAUCACCUUCAGCAACGAAAGCACACUCACCUUUGUUCUCGUUACUUUCAUCCCCUUUUGUAGGACAAUCCCUUUUAAUAUGCCCAUACCCUUUGCAUUUAAAGCAUUGAACAUUGUUGGAUCUAGACUUGCCACCCUUAGAUCCCUUACUAGUUGACUUUCUCCUAUUAGCCUUAAUUACUAAUGCCAAGCCAUUUGGAUCUCUAUCCCCUUUUUUACUUUUUUUUGGGCUUCACGAGACAUUACGUUGCUUGUGCUUGUUCUAACGUUAUUGUAUCCAUUCCACAUAUAAGAGAUUCCACAAAUACCUCAUAGGAGUUUGGAAGCGAAGCUAGGAACAAUAGUGCCUUUUCCUCUUCCUCCACCUUGACAUCAACCUUCUUCAACUGAUCAAUGAUCCCAUCAAAUUCAUUCAUAUGCUUCAUGAGGUCUCCAUUCUUCUCCAUCUUUAAGCAAUACAACUUUCGCCUAAGCUGCAACUUGUUAGAAAGACUUUUCGUCAAGUAAAUUUUCUCUAACUUUGCCCAUAAUCUUAGAGCAGAAUCCUCAUCAAUAACAUGAUUAAACACAUUAUCUCCAAUGCAAAGCCGAAUAGUGCUCACACACCUUUGCUUCAACUAUGCCCAUUCAACAUCCUUCAUGUCAUCUGGUUGCCCUUCCUCAUUUCCUAGCAAGGGGCGCAUUAAACCUUGCUGUACAAGGAGAUCUUUCAUCAUUCUUUACCACUGCGUGAAACUAGUCUUACCAUCAAACUUCUCAAUUGAAAAAUUCGUAGNACAUCACCCUUCUUCAACUGAUCAAUGAUUCCAUCGAAUUCAUUCAUAUGCUUCACGAGGUCUCCAUUCUCCUUUAUCUUUAAGCGAUACAACUUUCACCUAAGCUGCAACUUGUUAGAAAGACUUUUCGUCAAGUAAAUUUUCUCUAACUUUGCCCAUAAUCUUAGAGCAGAAUCCUCAUCAAUAACAUGGUUAAACACAUUAUCUCCAAUGCAAAGCCGAAUAGUGCUCACACACCUUUGCUCCAACUCUGCCCAUUCAACAUCCUUCAUGUCAUCUGGUUGCUCUUCCUCAUUUCCUAGCAAGGGGCGCAUUAAACCUUGCUGUACAAGGAGAUCUUUCAUCCUUCUCUGCCACUGCGUGAAACUAGUCUUCCCAUCAAACUUCUCAAUUGAAAAAUUCGCAGAACUAGUAACUUUCGACAUCUUUGUUGAAUCUUGAAUUUACCGAACCUGAAGCUCUGAUACCAGUUUGUUAUGAAAAUUGCCCAAAAAUCAACAAAGAUAAAAUCCAGAGAAAAUAAGCAAAAAGAAAAACACAAGAAUUUACGUGGUUCGGCCUCUUGCCUACGUCCAUGGAGUGAAACUGUUCUUCUAUUAUUGAGAAUUUAAAGUACAAUAAAUUGACCUUUAUGGUUCCCCAAAACAACCCAAUAUCCCCUGCACACUCUUCCUCAAUAACCUCCCAAGAACAUUCACUCAAACCACUCUAGCUUCACUUAGAGCAAAAGAUAGAGUUACAAGAUGUUCUCUCUCUAGAGCUCUCAAAGCACUACUUACAAUUCUAAAGCCUAAAAAUCCACUUUUAUAGUAUAAAAGUCCAAAGUAAAAUGUGAUUAGGAUUCGAUGUGGAAUAAGAAGUUUAAAACCAUACAACUACUUAAUAUUGUAUACAAACAAAAAAUCCUAAUCAAAUAAGAUCUAGAAUUCUAGUCAACCUAAAACUCAACAAGUUCAAUGUGCUAAUGAUUUGCCUUGUGAAAUCUGUCCAUUAGCAAAGCAAAAACGUUUACCUUUUCCUAUUCAUGUUCAAAGCUCAAAAUGUGCAUUUGAUUUAGUGCAUGUAGAUAUCUGGGUCCAUAUUUCACACCAACAAUUAAUGGUCAUCGAUAUUUUCUCACAAUCGUGGAUGAUUACAGUCAUUUCACAUGGACUUCUCUUAUGCAUGCUAAAGCUGAUACAACAGAUUUAAAACAAUCUUUUUACAACAUGAUAUUAAAUCAAUUUGGUAAAUCCAUUAAGCAAUUAAAAUCCGAUAACGGUAAGGAAUUUAAACUAGUUGAAUUUUAUUCUUCUAAAGGAAUUAUGCAUCAACUGUCGUGUGUAGAUAGACCGCAGUAGAAUGGUGUAGUUGAAAGGAGCCACCAACAUCUAUUAGUAAUUGCUAGAGCUUUACUUUUCCAAUCCUGUUUGCCUUUGAAAUUUUGGGCUGAUUUAGUACUUUGAGUAACCCACAUUAUCAAUCGAAUCCCCACACCACUUUUAAAGAAUAAAACUCCAUAUAAGAAAUUAUUCCAAAAACUACCUUCCUAUUCACAUUUCAGGAUAUUUGGUUCUCUUUGUUUGGCUAGCACUCUAUCACAUAACAGAAAAAAAAUUUUACCCUAGAGCUGUCAAAUGUGUAUUUCUAGGAUACGCAACAGGAAUUAAGGGAUACAAGUUAUAUGAUUUGAGCACUCAUAAAGUUUUUAUAUCCAGGGAUGUCAUAUUUCAUGAAAGUAUUUUUCCCUUCCGACAGCCAACACAAACUCUCAACAAAGAAUUAUUCUCAUUUCCUCAAACACCUUGUGAACAUAAUUCUGUCACAAAUGAUCUCAAUAUCAAUACUAAUCAUUAUUUAGAUUUUGAUGUUCCUAUUCACGAUUAUAAUCUUGUUGAUCAAUCUCUUUUUUCAGCAGAUAUUAAUCAUGACAUAAAUCAUACAAGUCCAUCAAAUUCAGAAUCAGUUUCCAAUAUAGACAUAGUUUCAUCUACUUCAAAUAUAUCUAAUUCUUAUGAUGAACAUCCGAUUAUCUCUAGUGAUAAUCAUGAAAAUGAUCCACCAAGGAGAAGUGAUAAGAUAAGAAGACCUCCAAAAUACUUGGAGGCAUAUCACUGUAAUUUAUCAUCUGCAUCAUCACACAAUGUUACUAAAUAUCCCAUGCAAGAUUUUUUAUCUUCCAAUUUAUUGUUUGAUUCUCAUAGAGCCUUUAUUGUUUCUUUGUCCCAUGUUGAUGAGCCCAAAACAUAUCAUCAAGCAAUUCAGUUUGAUCAUUGGAAGAAUGCCAUAAAAAUAGAACUGGAUGCCUUAGAAGACAAUGGCACAUGGAGUGUGGUACCAUUACCUUCAGAUUCAUAUUCUAUUGGCAACAAAUGGAUAUAUAAAGUAAAGACGAAUGCUGAUGGCAGUGUAGAAAGAUACAAAACUAGGUUGGUGGCUAAAGACUAUAAUCAACGAGAAAGCUUUGAUUAUCAAGAGACGUUUAAUCCAAUGGCUAAACCGUCUACUGCUAGAAUUUUUUUAGCAAUAGCAGCAUUGAAAAAUUGGCAUCUCUCACAUCUUGACAUCAACAACACUUUCUUAAAUAGGGACCUUGAUGAUAUUGUUUACAUGGAUUUGCCUCAAGGUUGUUAGAUUAAGGGGGAGUAUCUUACUGGUGUGAAACUUGUCUAUAAACUACACAAAUCACUCUACGAACUCAAACAAGCGUCACGACAGUGGAAUUGUAAGUCCACUAAGGCAUUACUACUUUAUGAUUUCACACAAUCAAAAUUAGAUUAUUCCUUGUUGACUUAGACAACUGAAAACAAUGAUUUUGUGGGACUACUUGUGUAUGUUGAUGAUAUAGUAAUAGGAAGUUCCUUUGUGAAGGUUACAAACGAUAUCAAGCAAUAGCUUAGUUCCAAGUUUAAGUUGAAGGAUCUAGGAUGUAUGAAAUAUUUUCUUGGUCUAGAAGUAGCAAGGUCAAAUACUGGGAUUACAAUCUGCCAACGAAAAUAUACUCUAGAUUUAAAGGAGGAGUAACCGAACUUUAGAGAGAAAGAAAGAAGAAGAAAGGAAAAAGGAGUGGGGGAACAUGGACAAGAAACUUGUCAUUGUCGGCCCCACCAUGAAGCCAUAUCAAAUACAACCUCUCUUUGUCUCUUUCAUUUUAUCCUUAGCCAUUUAGGGAGAAAAAGAGAAAGGCAGAAAGAGCCGAAAUGUGAGAGAGAAAGGAGGAAGUGUCACGGGUUGAAGGGAGAAUUUCUUGGGUGGUUGCAACCGGUCUUGAGGGGAGAAAUAGAGAAGAAAGGAAGCCAUUUAUGGAGCUAAAUAAAAAAGGGAAAGGAACUUAUUUUUGAGAGAGGAAAUGGAGGCCUUGUGUUGUCGAUUUUAGAGAGGAAAGAGGGGCUUCUUGCUGUCGGUUUUUGAGAGGAAAAAAAGGCCUUGUGUUGCUGGAUUUUUGGGAAGGAAAAUAGAGGAAGCUGGGCUGUUAUGGUGAUCGGCGGUGAGAGUGAAAGUAGAGAGCUUGCUGUCGGCGUUGGUAGUGAAGGAGGAAGGAUGAAGGCUGCAGUAAAAAGGAUGAGAAAGAGAUCGGGUGAAGGGAAGGUAAUGGGGGCAUAAAGAAAAAAAAACAUAAUAAUAAUAAAAUAAAAAUAUAAAAUAAAAUAAAAUNGAGGAAGGAUGAAGGCUGCAGUAAAAAGGAUGAGAAAGAGAUCGGGUGAAGGGAAGGUAAUGGGGGCAUAAAGAAAAAAAAACAUAAAUAAUAAAUAAAAUAAAAUAAAUAAAAUAAAAUAAAAUAAAAGUAAAGUAAUAUAUAUAUAUAUAUAUAUAUAUAUAUAUAUUAAUGGGGUUUCAAUGUAUAGAAGAAAUAAGUAACGGUGGAACACUGUGGUGGCAGGCCGAAGAAAAAUAACGAAUGGCCGGUAGGAGGGAAUAACUAGAUACGUUUACGAAUUAAUAGUGACGUAACAUCCCGCUAUUGUGAGGUGAGUAGGGAGUGUCCAUUUUAAAAUUUUCAUAAAUAUAUUCUUAUAUGUAUUAUUUAUUUUAAACGCGAAAAUUGUGGAUAGCAUGUGCUGGUAGCAAUUUUAGGGAAUUGUGAAUGCAAAUUAUGUUUAGAAAUCGUUUUGAAUAUAUAUGUAUAAAUUAUAUGUAAAGUGUUUUCAAAAUGGGAAAACAAGUCCUUCGCACUGUUUUGCCUUAAAAUCUGUGCUUUAUAUUUGUGCAGUGUGCAUCCAUGAUUAUAAUGCUCAUUCACCAUGCGAGUUAUUGUUUCGAAAUUCAUGCAUAAAUUUUAUUUUAUGAAAAUGAUAAUAGAUUUUAUCAUACCUUGUGUUGAAUACUUUGAAAAUAAUUUUGAGACGAGCUUUUAAGAACAUAACACAAUUUCAAAAUGGUUUUACAAAUCGAGAGAUUGGAGAGUAGGCCGGUUGUCACUUCGGUUAAGUGUGACCCUCGUGCACGAGUGAGCUCUAGCAAGAAAACCAUUAGGUCACCGACGGGCGGUUAGGCGUGGUUGGGGCCACGGCCUGUGAUAUAUGUAUGCGUGGCUAGGCCACCAAAUGAUUAUGCGGUUGCGACCGUUUGAUUCUCCGAUGUCGGCCAACAUCGUGAGAUUGCCAUGGCACAUGGGAAUCCGGUGGAAGCAAUGCUCCCGGAUGUUAUUAUGUGGUAGCGGGACCACGGGUUUAUUUUCAUUCCCUACUCGAGAGUGGCAUCUCUAGGUUUUUAAACUCAUAUUUCUUUGCAUGGUGAAAACGAAAUUUAACGGUUUUUCUGCAGCUCCCCUUAUUUUUACGGUAAAAUGAAUUUUAACUCCUCGAGUGCGAGGUGAUUUGUGAUUUACAUAUGUGUUUGAUUAACAUUCGAUUUCAUGGGAGCUUGCCGAAUAUACUGAUUUGAUUUGAGUAAAAUGUCAAUUGAUCUUGACGACGAAAUUUUUUUUAUGUAAAAUUGUUUUAAUUCAAUAUUUCAAAUGAUUGACUUGAAUAAGGUUACUGAUCUGUUUUGUAGUGAAAAUUUUUGUCUACCUUGGUUAAUUUACCAAUUGAAGUGUUUACAAUGUGUAAGAAAUCCUCGGUUUUUCAUACAAGGCACAAACUUUCGUUUGAAAUAAAUUGUUUUUAUAAUCUUGCAUUUUUAAUAUCAACUGAUCUGUUGUUUGCUUGUUUCCCAUCUACUCCCUACUCACGGAGCCGAUGAUCACUGAGUCUGUGAGACUCACCCCCCUUUUUAUUUCCCUUUUUGCAGACAGUGAUCAGCCUAGUGCGUAAUCAUCGAUGCGUAUGGUCCACCGUAGAUAGGUAAAGGCAUCUCAUAGCAUUUUAUCCCGAGUCGCUCCGCUGUUAGAGAUUGAGUUGUAGUACUUUGGUUUUACUAUGUAAACAAAUAUUAGUUUUGAUAAAAACAUAAAUUUUAGAUUCUUGAACUCAAUGUAUUUAAUUGUGAUAUCAUGACUUAAAGUCAAAAUUUAAUGGCUAUGUUUCUUGUGAAAUUUUAAGUUUAAAAAAAAAACUAUAUAUGGUUCAAACAUUAAUAUAGAUUAGUAAAGGUGUACAAUAAGUUAUGGAGAAAUUUCUUUUAGGCUUGUUCGGGACUUGGCGCGAUCUCCCGGAGGUCUCAGACGCUGGUAGCGAUUGAGGAAGGGUCGUUACACUACAAGUUAUAGAUAGUUGAUAGGUAAAUUAAUUUACCUAGUCUUUAGAAGACCAGACAUCACAUAGGCUAUUAAAGUUCUAUCACAGUUUUUAGACAAGCCUGGAAAGUCUCAUUUCUAUGCAGCACUCAGAGUCCUUAAAUACCUAAAGGAUACCUCAGGGUGUGGUAUUUUGAUGUCUUCAUAUUCAGAACCUAUCUUGACAGCUUAUGCAGACAAUGAUAGGGGGAGCUGUCCAGACACAAGAAGGUCUGUUACAGGGUUCAGUAUAUUCCUUGAAAAAUCUUUGAUUAGCUGGAAAGCAAAGAAACAAACUGUGGUAGCUUGAAGUUCAACAGAGGCAGAAUAUAGGUCUAUGCAGCAACACGUUGUGAAAUAUUAUGGUUGUUGAAUUUGCUUAGAGAUUUUGGAAUUUAUCAUUCACAAGCAGUGAAGUUGUAUUGUGAUAACCAAUCUGCCCUUCACAUUUGUAAAAAUCCCACACACCAUGAAAGAACGAAGCAUAUUGAAAUGGAUUGCCAUUUCAUGAGGGAGAAAGUUGCAGCAAAAUUGAUAGCUCUACAAUACAUUCAAACUGAUAUGCAGAUUGCUGAUAUUUUCCCAAAGGCUCUUCAGCCAAAACAAUUUUCUUAUCUCAUAUCCAAGAUGAGCAUGGUUAACAUUCAUAGUUCACCAAGCACCUCUUUAGGGGGAGUAUUAGAAAAUUAAAUGGAGUGAAGCCAGAGAGGAAUUUGUUGCAAAGAAGAUUCUCGAGAGUCAUGAAGAUGUCUUGUUUUGAUUGUUGGACUAACAAAAUAGUGGUAUAUAUGUAGAUAGUUAUCCUCUGUAGGUAUUUUUAUUCUUGUAAUUUUGUCAGGUAGUGCUGUUUAUUGUAGGCUCAAUAUUCAUUUGUUCUUGUACAUAUACUACUGAAACUGUACAGAAUGAGAUGAUGAAAAACAUACAGAGGAAAUAUUCUUUUCAAAUGGCCUUUUCUCUCGAUGGGGUUGCUUUGAUGAAAGUCAAAAAAGAAAGAUAAUUAAGUUAUAUUGUACAUAUUAUUGAAUGUUUACAAGAACCAUUCCACGUUAAGAUGGUAUUGACCAUGCAACUUGAUAUCAGAUAUUAUCAUUUUGCAAGAGCUUACUCAAUUGUUCUGAUCUCAAAGGAUGGCUGAAUAUUUCUUAGCAUUCAAAUCCCAUAAAGCCCCCUUCAAGCUAGUGAAAUAGGCCAAAAUGGUGAGAGAUUAUAAGAUAAUUUUAGUAAUCCAAAUGGAUUAUAAGAUAAUUUUAUUCUCCUUUCCAUGUUAAGUUGCAUAUUUAUUUCACAAAAUAUCUAGUACAUUUAAUUACAGAUUGUUUUCUAAGCAUGAUUAGAUUGCAUAUUUUGUAAUGGACAAUUAAUUCAGAGUUCAGUUUCUUAUAAGGACAUUGCAUGUUUUGUCACCUACUUAACUAUAUGGUUAGAGUAGCUGCACAAUUAUUAAUUAAUACAUUGUAUAUACUUUAGAGUGAAACAUGUUUAAUUCUUUACAGGGUCACUUUACUGCUAUUUGAUAUUUAAUUGUUUAUUUUCAACUACGAAAAGUAUAUAAUAAAGAUUCAUUAAUUAUAAAUAUGUGAUGUUCAUGAAUCUUUAGACAAGGUAUGAGCUCACUGCUUAGUAUGUUCCUUGUAUUAUGAACUUUAGAUUUAAUUUUCAGAAUAGAAAUUGAAAUACUUAAUUAUAUAUUAGUAGCUUAAUGAAACUAUAAAACAAGAGUAAUCCGUUACUGAUCAUAAGUGAGAAUUAAGGAGGAGUUUGUAGUCUUAGUUUUUGACAUGAACAGAUGAUUCCUCUAGAUGUUGUUUUUGUUCUAGCUGUUGAUUUCAUUCACUAGAUUUUGAAAUUGAUUAGAGCUUUAAUGAUUCAGAGACAAUUGAUAUGUCAGGAUAACCAUCAUAGAAAUACCACCAUCAAAGUUUUGGGUAUAAAGUUCAUUGGUUGGUUGAUACAUAACUGGAAUGUUCUAUUUUACACUCCUUGAUCUCAUUAUUCUGUCUUACUCCAUUAUUUUUCAAUUAUAAAAAUAUAAUUAUAGAAUCAUGGUUUGUCCAAAGAUUUGAAGGUAAUGGUAACAUUACAACAAUAUCCCACAAUUCUAAUUAGAUUCAUCUGUAGUGAAUUGCAACUUACAGGAAUGAUUAUAUAUUUUGAGGGUUUUUUACACUUUGUAAUAAAAUUUUUAUUGAUAAUUUUAGAGUUUUGUGAUUUUUAACACCAAAUAUCCUAAGAAUGGAUAUUGGCAACUGAGAGAAAUGGACCAUUGUGCAAGGACUGGUUUGGAAAAGCUUGAGAAGUGGUGAUCAAGUCCUUGAAUAAACUUCAAUUCUUGGAUCAGGAAAUAUGGCUUUCUCAUCAGCCUCACUACUGCAACAAGGUAAAAUAGCAUAAGCAAUCAAUUCAUCACAAACAGAGGUUAACCUGGUUGAAAACAGGGAGAUUAUCAUAGUAAAUUAGGCUGAAAUAGAGAGAUUAUCUUGGUUUGAUAUUCCAAAAGAAUUUGGAUGAAUGAAUUUCUUCUUAUUAAACUGUAAGUAGAACUUUUCAACUACCAUAUUUACUUUUAAGUAGUAAAGUUGUGGAAAACUCAAUAAUUAGAGCUCACUUUAAUGGAUUUCACAAGGCUAAUUUCCCAUUGACAUCGAUUUGGUUACUAAGGAGAGGAAUCAUCUUUCUCGCAUCUUGCAUUAUCAUGAUAUUAAAUUCUCUUCAAAAAAAAAAAGGGCAUGAUAUUAAAUUUGAUUAAUAUUAAGGAAUUGAAUUAAUCUAGAUUUUCUUGUUUUAACUUUAAUUUCUAAAAUUUAUAAAAACAAAACAGUUGUGUCAAGAAUGACUCAAGUAGCUAUUAAAAUGAAAUAAUUGUCACAAGUAGAGAAGAGAUUAUUAUAUUUCCACACAUUUUUCUCAUUUGACCCAUUCUCGAUCUAAAUUUGGGCUAUAAGCUUUGACAUUUCAAAACAUCAAUAGUAGAAUCUACAGUCUAUUGUAACAAUAAUUUUAAUAAUACUUGAACGUUCACUAGGAUGCUUUUAUGAUGGACAUUCAAUUUAUGAUGGAAAAUGUAAUAAUUCAAUGAAUUUAUAAGAAGUAAUGUAGAUCCUUUUAACAUUAUAAGGCAUGAAUGGGAUGCUUUUUUAUACUUUGGUCUUUUUAGACAAAUUUCUCAAUCAACAAUUAUAUGUGCAAGUUGCGACUCUUGGAUAAAUGGACAGACUCGCUGUACGUGACAUUCAUGCUGUGGGGUGCAAGAUUAGAAAAUAUUUGUGUGUGUGUGUGUGUGUGUGUUUAUACAUCACUUAUAUUCAUGCUGUACGUAACAUUGUAGACAUCAAAAUUUUGAAUUUGUUUGGUCAAAUAAAUUUAUUAGGAUUUUGUCUACUUAGAGAUUAGCUGUUUCUUCUGUGAAUUAAUGCUUAUAGAUCAUUUGAUUGAUCAAUUAAAUGAAUAAAGUUUCCGUUUAAUUUGAGAGAUGGCAUGUUUACUGUGUAAAUUAAUUAAUAUGACAUUAACUCUAUGAAAGUUUCGCCACUUGGGGUGACAAAAGAAUAUCUGGCUUGGCUAAUAAAGAUUUCCUCUUAGAGUCACUUUCCAACGCAAUCAAUGGUCAAAACUAUAUAAAAAGGGCAAGGGCAAAUUCAAUUAGCUGACAGUUUGUUAUUUAUUUAUUCAACAACUACAUGUCAUGUCAUGUCAAGAAGGGUUUUAAUUUAUAAGUUUAAAAAUCUAAAAGAAAAUUUAAGACAAAGGACUGUUUUUUUCCUUUUAAGUCUUGUUGAUGGACUGACUAUGCAAAACUUCUGUUUGAAUCCUUUUUAAGUCUGAUACGUAUAUCAUAGCCAGGGGCGGAGCAUAAAAAUUUUGAAAAUUUUUAUUUAAUUAUAUAUAUAUUUUUCAAUGACCUCUUUAAAAUUUUUAAAAUUUUUUAUUUUGAUUCCCUCAAAAUAAUUUUUUAUUAUAAUUAAUACAAAAAAAAAUUAAAAAUCCCUAAAUCCAAAUCCUACUCAAUGUUAUCCUAAUUUAAAUUUUUUUCCUUUAUUUUAACAAUUACAAAUCAUUUAAUAUUGAUGAUAUCUACAAAUUAACAGACCGUUUUUAUUCUCAAAAUUUCACAGAGCAAUAAAGACUUCUUUUGAGGUUACGAUUAAAGCAUUAGGAGCUUCAUAUGCCUCAUCACUAAGGUUUUGAAGAUAUUAAGAUAUUUUCUAAAUUGUGUCAAAGAUUAGCAGAAAUAAGAAAGUAAAAAAAUUACCACUCUUUGUUUUUACUUUUUCGAUUUCUAUAGCAACUACAGAGAGAGUCUUUUUAGCAAUGAAAAUUUUGAAAAUAAGAUUCUGAAACAAAAUGGAUGAUGAGUUUUUUGCAUAAAAUUUAAUUAUUUAUGUUGAGAAAAAUAUUGCUAGCAUCGUCAAUAUAGAGUCAAUAAUUGAUGAAUUUGAAUCUAAAAGACAUCAUCAAGAAUAACUUUCUUAAAAGACUACAGUAAAUAUUUCUUUUCUUAUUUUUUUAUCUAUAUGUUAUAUAAAAAUUAUUAUCCAGUAUGAAUUUUUUUAUUGUUGGUUAAAUUCAACAUAUUGGUUUUAGAAAUUUUUACCCUUUAUUCUUAUUCGUCUUUGACCCCCAACAAAAAUUAACUAGCUCCGCCUUUGAUCAUAACCAUUUAUUUUUCUUUUCUCCACAAGCUUACUUCAUCGCUUCAUUGGUUUCUUUUUCUUUUUCUUCACUGAUUGGUUUGUCCAAUUCUAGACUUGCAAAUGACGCAAGAUUUGGAGACGAUGCUAAAAUCAAAACAAUAUCCCACAAUUCGAACCAGAUUCAUUCUUAGUGAAUUGCAAUUUACUGAGGGCUUUUUACACUUUGUAAUAAACGUUUUGUUGAUAAUUUCAGGGCUUUGUGAUUUAAGUGAUGACAAAUAUUAAGUAUUGAAUGAAUUACAAGCACUUUUACAGAAUUGCUCUGUUCUCAGAACCAUGGCUGAAUAGAUUUCUGGUUAAUCUCAAUUUGGUAAUUUUCUCACAGGAUUAUAGCCAAGGAGGUUAAUCAAGUUAGAAAAAUGAUCCAUUGGGCAACAAUUUCUAUGAACUUCAGGAAACAUGUGUGUCUCAUUAUUGCAGUCUACUUUAAUAAUGACAUCUAUGAAUUUAGAUGAAUGAAUUUCUUUCUUUUUAAACAGUAACAAAGAUAUGAAAACAUGAAAUUGCUAAGCAGAUUAACGGACUAAGUGGAACUUUUCAACUAUCAUUUUGACUUUCAAGUAGUAAAGUUGUGUGGAAAACUCACGCUUUGAAUAAUAAGAUAAUAAAUUCAAUGCCUCUUGACUUGACGCCAAAAGGAAAAAUAAAAAGAGGACAGGUCGGAAUAAUGGAUUGAACUAAACUAUUUCCAGACUCUUUGACAGCCUCUAUAAUUAAACCCAAGAUUGUCUCGAAAUUUCAUUACAAUCAUCCCAAGAAUGCGCGGAAAGUGUAGGUCUUUUCAGAUGCUGCUGAUGUUUCUUUGGCUUUGCCAUAGCAUAACAAUUGCAAAUGGCUUCAACCUAAGUGCCAAAUAAGAUACCACCCGAUGCAAAGAGGACGAGAGACGUGCUCUCCUUAUGUUCAAGCAAAGUCUUGUUGGUGAUUCCGGUCGACUCUCGUCUUGGGGAAGCAAAGAUGGAGAAAAAGAUUGUUGUCUCUGGCGAGGUGUCCGGUGUAGCAAGAGAACAGGCCAUGUAAUCAUGCUCGAUCUUCAUAACUCUCUGACCCUUGAUGUUGGCUUUGAUAUCGCCUAUCAGAAUAAUAGUCUGAGAGGUACGAUUAAUCUUUCAUUGCUUGAACUGCAACAUUUAAUAUAUUCAGACCUUAGUGAAAAUGAUUUUGGAGGAAGUCGGUUUCUGAAUAUUAGUGGCUCUCUAAGGAAGUUAAGAUACCUCGAUCUUCAUGAAACUGGAGUAAGUUCUGCAAUACUGUAUCAGCUUGGGAAUCUUUCUUCUUUAAGAUUUCUUGACCUUAGUUGGAACUACCUUGGUGAAGCCAAGGAUUGGCCGCAGCUACUCAACAAGCUUCCUUAUCUACAAGACUUAAAGUUGAGCGGCUGUAGUCUUCCGAAAAUCCUUUCUCCACCUUCCCUCACUAAUACUACUUCAACAUCAAUUUCCAUUGAUCUCUCUGUAAAUGAUCUUACUUCUUCCAUGUACCCACUAUUGUUCAAUAUUACCAGCAAAAUUGUUGAUCUUAACCUCCAAUAUAACUCAUUACAAGGCUCAAUUCCAGACUUUUUCAAGAACAUGGUUUCCCUUAGACAUCUUGAUCUCUCCCUAAAUCAACUUGGAGGCGAGAUUCCAGAAUUCCUGGGGAACAUAUGUACUUUAAAAGCAAUAGACCUUUCCUUCAAUAACUUUAGUAGAUUCAUUCCCGCUGGUUUGUCUGGAUGCAUACAGAAUUCACUGGAGAUUUUGAGACUACCGUGGAAUAGCUUUCAAGAUUCAAUAUUUUCUUACAUAACAAGAUUUUCUUCUCUAAAAGAACUUAAUCUCUCAGGUAAUAGAUUAAAUGGCUCUUUUCCAGCAAGUUUUAAACGACCUUCGAAGCUUGCGUUUCUAUAUCUGUCGAACAACCAACUCAGAGGUGCUUUACCUGAUCUCACAAAGUUUUCAUCAUUGAAGUAUUUAGAUAUUGGCUAUAAUCAAUUCAAUGGAACGAUGACUGAAAGUUUAGGAUGCCUGUCUGAGCUCGAGCAUCUUAAUGCUUCUUGGAAUUCUUUUGAAGGUGUGAUAUCUGAAGCUCAUUUUGAAAAUCUCUCCAAAUUACAAACACUUGACCUAUCUUACAAUGUUUUAGCUUUUAAUGUCAGCUCCGGUUGGGUUCCUCCUUUUCAGUUACAUCAUAUUUAUCUAUCAUUUUGCAAAUUGGGGACUCACUUCCCAAAAUGGCUUCGAACUCAAAAGGAAUUUCAAGAUCUUGAUAUUUCUGGUGCUGGAAUUUCAGAUACUAUCCCUGAUUGGUUUUGGGACCUGCCUCCAUAUUUAUCUUCUUUAAAUCUCUCCCAUAACCAGAUGAUUGGCAUGCUACCAGACUUAUCAUCACUCAAGAUUAAAGCAUUUCUUGGAAUAGAUUUAAGUUUUAACCUGUUUGAGGUCCAUUGCCAAUCUUUCCAUAUAACUUGACAGCAUUAAUUCUUACUAGAAAUAGAUUUUCUGGAUCAAUUUCUCCUUUAUGUGAGAUUACAGCAGAGGGUUUGACCAUUAUUGAUCUUUCUGAUAACCUAUUGUGGGGAGUACUUCCUGAUUGCAUUUUUCACUGGCAAUACCUCCUAGUUUUGAAUUUAGCUAAUAACAACUUCUCAGGGGGUAUUCCAACAAGUGUGGGAUCAUUGUUGUCAGUUGAAAUAAUUAAUUUGCACAAUAAUAGCUUCUCUAGCGACUUACCUUCUUCUUUGAAAAAUUGCAAUCGGUUGGAAUUUUUGGACUUAAGCGAG